rnacentral:lncRNA from 1 species
CCCAUGUGUCCUUUUAAAAAGAAGAAGAAAAUAAAAACGUGCUUUGAAUAAUCUCUAUAUUUCCAUCCAUUUCAUGCACUAAAGGAUACAACUGGCCUGUAAUCAAAAUAACUUAGAACGAAUCAGAAUGAUCAUAAUCUCCGGUAUAUUUAAUUCAUAAUUGAAACUAAAUUCCACGAGACUGGGAUAUUGCUAUUCUCUUUUAAAAUUGAACUUCCACCAAUCAAACGGAUAAAACGAAAAUCAUCCAUUAUCAUUUUCAUUUCGUAGCCUAACUUCACCUAAUCAAAUAUGAUUUUAAAAUAAUUUUUUUUAAAGAUGUUGCUGAUAUUAUCAAGUUAUCACGAGUCAGAAGGUCGUCAUCGUCAGUUGUAAUGCAUGACAAAGAUCCCACACCCACCAUAAAGGCGUCUCAUGUGAUCCCGGCCACCUGGCUAGAAUUCAGGUCCUAGUUUGCAGUGGCUCGUGGGGAAUGGGUCAGGGUUGUAUCUUUUGCCC